GCCUGGCUGGCUCAGUAGAGCAUGUGAUUAUUGAUCAUGGGGUUGUGAGUUUGAGCCCCAUGUUGGGUG
rnacentral:tRNA from 1 species